rnacentral:rRNA from 1 species
UACGUAGGGUGCAAGCGUUAAUCGGAAUUACUGGGCGUAAAGCGUGCGCAGGCGGUUAUGUAAGACAGUUGUGAAAUCCCCGGGCUCAACCUGGGAACUGCAUCUGUGACUGCAUAGCUAGAGUACGGUAGAGGGGGAUGGAAUUCCGCGUGUAGCAGUGAAAUGCGUAGAUAUGCGGAGGAACACCGAUGGCGAAGGCAAUCCCCUGGACCUGCACUGACGCUCAUGCACGAAAGCGUGGGGAGCAAACAGG